rnacentral:rRNA from 1 species
UACAGAGGGGGCAAGCGUUGUUCGGAAUUACUGGGCGUAAAGGGCGCGUAGGCGGCCUGUUAAGUCGAACGUGAAAUCCCCGGGCUCAACCCGGGAACUGCGUCCGAUACUGGCAGGCUUGAAUCCGGGAGAGGGAUGCGGAAUUCCAGGUGUAGCGGUGAAAUGCGUAGAUAUCUGGAGGAACACCGGUGGCGAAGGCGGCAUCCUGGCCGGCAUGC